rnacentral:lncRNA from 1 species
UGUUAAUCAUGGUUAUUUAUAUUUUUGCUAUUGGAACUGUUGAAAACUAGCAGCUGCUAGAAAAUGGGAUACUUUAAAGUUUAUUCAAUUUUAAGUCAUAGAAUAAUAUCAUAGAAUCACAGAAUGGUUUGGGUUGGAAGGGAUCAUCUGUUUCCAACUCUGCCACAACAGCUUCAUCAAGGUCACACUAGUUGAAAUGCAGGUUCUUUAAUUUCACAGAAAGAUUUUUCUCUCAUAAGAAAUCAAGCAUUGGCAUUUAAAGAAGCACCAAAUAUUCAAGGCAUCCUAUACUUGGUGUGAGAAAAAAAGCAAUUUUUGCUUGGAGAAAAAAAAACAACCAAAAAACAAACCACAAUUGUUUUGGACUCUGCUCAAUGCAGAAUCAAAACAGAGCUGAGAGAACAGAAACAAGACACUCAUCAUAUAAGUGCACAACAUUAUAAUUAAAAAAUUCUUUCAAUAAAAGAAUAUUUAUGGGAAAUCUUAACCCAUUCUUCUAGAUUCGGGGAGAUGCAGACAGAUUACCAAUGUUUCUGUCCUAAAACCUAGCCCAGAUUUACCACUCUGGGCCUCAUCUUUCAUCAUGUUAUAACAAAGACAAGCAAAAUAAGAUGUGGGGGUUUUAUAUGACAUUUAAAUGCAGAGAAAUUAUUAGAAGUACAAGAGAUAUGAGUACACUUAGAAGUAGAAUUGUAACACCUAUCUCAAUGUAAGGAGGGCAUUUAUUCAAUAAAUUAAAUGAGCCUUACAUACAAACCUUAUAUUACAUUGAGUGUAUUUUCUAGGACUAGAAAUAUAUGUUCUCCAGUCUUCUCUUUGUCUCCAAGAGCAAGUUUGUCUUGUUCUAGUGAUGAAAUAUGGUACUACAGACCUAGAUGAACCAAGAAGGGCUAUAAUUGGCAAAAUCUGACAGUAAGAAAGAUCUCCCCAAGCUGAUCAAGAGGUGUUAUAGCAGAUUAGCACUCCUGCUAGUAGGUUGCUCAAUUAAGCUGUGGAUCUUUGAAGCCUGUGAACUUUGCCAACUUUUCACCCAGAUCACAGUACAGAAACAUCUGGAUGAAAUGGCACUGAGCUUACUCACUAUGAAAAUACACAGUUGAACACUCACAUACCUUCUUAACCUCUCAGGGAAGUUGUUCUUCACUCCUUCUGCAAGAUAUUUAUAUUUAAUG